GAUGAUUGAUGCUUGCAUCAUGAAUCAGAUCUAAGCGAGUGGCGGACGGGUGAGUAACACGUGGGUAACCUGCCCAGAAGUAGGGGAUAACAUUUGGAAACAAGUGCUAAUACCGUAUAACAACAUUAAACACAUGUUUUUUGUUUGAAAGAUGGCUCUGCUAUCUCUUCUGGAUGGACCCGCGGCGUAUUAGCUAGUUGGUGAGGUAAUAGCUCACCAAGGCAAUGAUACGUAGCCGACCUGAGAGGGUAAUCGGCCACAUUGGGACUGAGACACGGCCCAAACUCCUACGGGAGGCAGCAGUAGGGAAUCUUCCACAAUGGGCGAAAGCCUGAUGGAGCAAUGCCGCGUGAGUGAAGAAGGUUUUCGGAUCGUAAAACUCUGUUAUUGAAGAAGAACAUGCGUGAGAGUAACUGUUCACGUACUGACGGUAUUCAAUCAGAAAGCCACGGCUAACUACGUGCCAGCAGCCGCGGUAAUACGUAGGUGGCAAGCGUUGUCCGGAUUUAUUGGGCGUAAAGAGAAUGUAGGCGGUUUAUUAAGUUUGAAGUGAAAGCCCUCGGCUCAACCGAGGAAGUGCUUCGAAAACUGGUAAACUUGAGUGCAGAAGAAGAAAGUGGAACUCCAUGUGUAGCGGUGGAAUGCGUAGAUAUAUGGAAGAACACCAGUGGCGAAGGCGGCUUUCUGGUCUGUAACUGACGCUGAGAUUCGAAAGCAUGGGUAGCAAACAGGAUUAGAUACCCUGGUAGUCCAUGCCGUAAACGAUGAGUGCUAAGUG
rnacentral:rRNA from 2 species